CCGUCCUCGUGCUGUACUGAAAGCCACCCUACCGCACGUCCUGAACAGGGCACGCAUGUCAUCCAUGCCCUCACAAGCCUCCUUCCGUGACCCUUCGUUCGAGCUGAUGGCUGCGGCGGUGCUACCGUCCGGGUCACAGAAAAGGUAGGUAAAGCAUCCUUUACGCGAAAUAUUAAAGAAUGGGAUGCGCUUGCAUGCCAGGGUAGGCCGGCGUCUUCACACAGUCCUGGGCCUCGUGGCAGCGUGAAGAAUGAGCGGCUGAUGAUUGCUCAACACGUCCAACUCACCCCACAGGUAAGAAUUCAGGACUUUGAGGGUGUCUAAAUGCCCCAAGAGCACAUGCAAUGCAAGGCAUAGGUCGAUGGAACUGCACCCCUCAAGAGAGUUAUGAAAUGUAUGGGCUCCAUGCCUGUCUCCGAGUGCCUGCCCAUUGACAAUCGCGGUUCCCAGUAUCAAGGCACAUCUGUGCCAACCUCCACCCAAAAGAAUUGACGCCGAUAUCACUAUUCGCGCGAUGGAUGCCUAGGAGGGAGUGUUUGAGCGUUUCGGGCAGGUCUGGAAUAGCUACUGUACGGGCACCAAAUUCGCCUGCAAAUAGCACCUCGUCGCCCUCACGCCGCAGCCUGUCAAGCUCGCCAGUAAUGCUGCCAAAUACUGUGUCAGGGACGUCACUGAACGCAAGGCCACUCCCG
rnacentral:lncRNA from 1 species